rnacentral:tRNA from 1 species
GAGGGUAUAGCUCAGUGGUAGAGGUGCCUGCCUAGCAUGCACGAGGUCCUGGGUUCAUUCCCUGGUACCUCCA